AGAACGAACGCUGGCGGCAGGCUUAACACAUGCAAGUCGAACGGGCGUAGCAACACGUCAGUGGCGCACGGGUGAGUAACGCGUGGGCAACCUACCUGGUGGUACGGAAUAACUGCGGGAAACUGCAGCUAAUACCGUAUGUCCCCUACGGGGGAAAGAUUUAUCGCCAUCAGAUGGGCCCGCGUAGGAUUAGCUAGUUGGUGAGGUAACGGCUCACCAAGGCGACGAUCCUUAGCUGGUCUGAGAGGAUGAUCAGCCACACUGGGACUGAGACACGGCCCAGACUCCUACGGGAGGCAGCAGUGGGGAAUAUUGGACAAUGGGCGCAAGCCUGAUCCAGCAAUGCCGCGUGUGUGAAGAAGGCCUUCGGGUUGUAAAGCACUUUUAUCAGGAACGAAAUACCAUUGGUUAAUAACCGGUGGGCUGACGGUACCUGAGGAAUAAGCACCGGCUAACUUCGUGCCAGCAGCCGCGGU
rnacentral:rRNA from 1 species